UACGGAGGGUGCAAGCGUUAAUCGGAAUUACUGGGCGUAAAGCGCGCGUAGGUGGUUGAAUAAGUCGAUUGUGAAAUCCCCGGGCUUAACCUGGGAAUUGCAUUCGAUACUGUUCAGCUAGAGUGUGGUAGAGGGAAGCGGAAUUCCGGGUGUAGCGGUGAAAUGCGUAGAUAUCGUGAGGAAGACCAGUGGCGAAGGCGAAUCUCUGGACAGUUCCUGACGCUCAUGCACGAAGGCCAGGGGAGCAAACGGG
rnacentral:rRNA from 1 species